GACAGAGGUGCCAAGCGUUAGGCGGAAUCACUGGGCUUAAAGCGUGUGUAGGUGGAUUUGUAAGUACCUUGUGAAAUCCCAUGGCUCAACCAUGGAACUGCUCGGUAUACUGCGAAUCUUGAGCCACUUAGGGGCUACCGGAACAAAUGGUGGAGCGGUGAAAUGCGUAGAGUAUCAAUUUGGAACGCCAAUGGUGAAAACAGGUAGCUGGGAGUGUGCUGACACUGGAGACACGAAAGCCAGGGGAGCGAACAGG
rnacentral:rRNA from 1 species